rnacentral:rRNA from 1 species
UACACUCCUACGGGAGGCAGCAGUGGGGAAUUUUGGACAAUGGGCGAAAGCCUGAUCCAGCAAUGCCGCGUGAGUGAAGAAGGCCUUCGGGUUGUAAAGCUCUUUUGUCAGGGAAGAAACGGUGAGAGCUAAUAUCUUUUGCUAAUGACGGUACCUGAAGAAUAAGCACCGGCUAACUACGUGCCAGCAGCCGCGGUAAUACGUAGGGUGCAAGCGUUAAUCGGAAUUACUGGGCGUAAAGCGUGCGCAGGCGGUUUUGUAAGUCUGAUGUGAAAUCCCCGGGCUCAACCUGGGAAUUGCAUUGGAGACUGCAAGGCUAGAAUCUGGCAGAGGGGGGUAGAAUUCCACGUGUAGUAGUGAAAUGCGUAGAUAUGUGGAGGAACACCGAUGGCGAAGGCAGCCCCCUGGGUCAAGAUUGACGCACAUGCACGAAAGCGUGGGGAGCAAACAGGAUUAGAAACCCGGGUAGUCCCAUG